GGGGACUGUGGCUCAGGAGUAGAAUGCUUGCCUAGCAUGCAUGAGGCCCUGGGUUCAAGCCCCAGUACCUCA
rnacentral:tRNA from 1 species